rnacentral:lncRNA from 1 species
AUAGACUUUGAUGUAGAUUUAUCAAAGAUGAUACGAUUAAAUUAUGAUAAAAAACUAUUGGAGAUUGAAUCUCUUUUAAAGCAAUGGAGCAAGAGAAACUUAACUCCUAUUGGGCGUAUUACAGUGGUUAAAACAUUGGCAUUACCAAAGCUUAUCCAUCUGUUUUCAUCAUUGCCAAAUCCAGACUCCAGAUUUAUUCAAAAACUUGAUACCUUGUUUUAUAGUUUUGUUUGGCAAAAACCAGUUGGUAAAGUUAAGAGAGAAACAUUAGUGAAAGAUUAUU